AUUGAACGCUGGCGGCAUGCCUUACACAUGCAAGUCGAACGGCAGCACGGGUGCUUGCACCUGGUGGCGAGUGGCGAACGGGUGAGUAAUACAUCGGAACGUACCUUAUCGUGGGGGAUAACGCAGCGAAAGCUGUGCUAAUACCGCAUACGCCCUGAGGGGGAAAGCGGGGGAUCGAAAGACCUCGCGCGAUUAGAGCGGCCGAUGCCUGAUUAGCUUGUUGGUGGGGUAAAAGCCCACCAAGGCGACGAUCAGUAGCUGGUCUGAGAGGACGAUCAGCCACCCUGGGACUGAGACACGGCCCAGACUCCUACGGGAGGCAGCAGUGGGGAAUUUUGGACAAUGGGGGAAACCCUGAUCCAGCAAUGCCGCGUGAGUGAAGAAGGCCUUCGGGUUGUAAAGCUCUUUUGUCAGGGAAGAAACACCGGCUCUAACACAGUCCGGGAAUGACGGUACCUGAAGAAUAAGCACCGGCUAACUACGUGCCAGCCGCCGCAGUAA
rnacentral:rRNA from 1 species